UAACCUGCUAAAUAGCCAGGCUAGCUUUGGCUGGUCGCCGGCUUCUUAGAGGGACUAUCGGCUCAAGCCGAUGGAAGUUUGAGGCAAUAACAGGUCUGUGAUGCCCUUAGAUGCUCUGGGCCGCACGCGCGCUACACUGACAGAGCCAACGAGUUCAUCACCUUGGCCGAAAGGUCUGGGUAAUCUUGUUAAACUCUGUCGUGCUGGGGAUAGAGCAUUGCAAUUAUUGCUCUUCAACGAGGAAUUCCUAGUAGGCGCGAGUCAUCAGCUUGCGUUGAUUACGUCCCUGCCCUUUGUACACACCGCCCGUCGCU
rnacentral:rRNA from 1 species